rnacentral:rRNA from 1 species
GACGAACGCUGGCGGCGUGCUUAACACAUGCAAGUCGAACGAUGAAGCGGGUGCUUGCACUCGUGGAUUAGUGGCGAACGGGCGAGUAACACGUGAGUAACCUGUCCUUUUCUUUGGGAUAACGGCUGGAAACGGCUGCUAAUACUGGAUAUUCAGGCUGCAUCGCAUGGUGUGGUUUGGAAAGGUUUUUUCUGGGAUUGGGUGGGCUCGCGGCCUAUCAGCUUGUUGGUGGGGUGAUGGCUUACCAAGGCUUUGACGGGUAGCCGGCCUGAGAGGGUGGUCGGUCGCACUGGGACUGAGAUACGGCCCAGACUCCUCCGGGAGGCAGCAGUGGGGAAUAUUGCACAAUGGACGAAAGUUUGAUGCAGCGACGCCGCGUGGAGGGUGUAGGCCUUCGGGUUGUGAACUCCUUUUGCUCGCGAAAAAGGCACAGUUUUGGCUGUGUUGAUGGUAGUGGGGGAAGAAGCGCCGGCUAACUACGUG